AGCUCAGUCGCUGCCGCCAGCUCGUGCACCUUGUUCUUGUGCCGCUCAACUGUCUUACUUCUCCACCGGUCGCCAUGGAAGAAGAGAUCGCCGCGCUGGUCAUUGACAAUGGCUCCAGCAUGUGCAAAGCUGGCUUUGCUGGGGACGAUGCACCCCGAGCCGUGUUUCCCUCCAUCGUCGGGAGUCCCCGAAACCAGGGCGUGAUGGUGGGCAUGGGCCAGAAGGACUCCUACGUGGGUGAUGAGGCCCAGAGCAAGCGCGGCAUCUUGACCCUGAAGUACCCUAUCAAGCAUGGCAUUGUCACCAACUGGGAUGACAUGGAGAAAAUCUGGCACCAUACUUUCUACAAUGAGCUGCGCGUGGCCCCAGAGGAGCACCCGGUGCUGCUGACUGAGGCCCCCCUGAACCCUAAGGCCAACAGAGAGAAGAUGACUCAGAUUAUCUUUGAGACCUUCAACACCCCAGCCAUGUACGUGGCCAUCCAGGCCGUGCUGUCCCUCUACGCCUCUGGGUGCACCACUGGCAUUGUCAUGGACUCUGGAGACGGGGUCACCCACACGGUGCCCAUCUACGAGGGCUACGCCCUCCCCCACGCCAUCCUGCGUCUGGACCUGGCUGGCCGGGACCUGACCGACUACCUCAUGAAGAUCCUCACCGAGCGUGGCUACAGCUUCACCACCAUGGCCAAGCGGGAAAUUGUGCGCGACAUCAAGGAGAAGCUGUGCUACGUCGCCCUGGACUUCGAGCAGGAGAUGGCCACUGCUGCAUCGUCCUCUUCCCUGGAGAAGAGCUACGAGCUGCCUGAUGGCCAGGUCAUCACCAUCGGCAAUGAGCGGUUCCGGUGUUCCAGGUUCCGGUGUUCCAAUGAGCGGAGGCGCUGUUCCAGCCUUCUUUCCUGGGCAUGGAAUCUUGCGGCAUCCAUGAGACCACCUUCAACUCCAUCAUGAAGUGUGACGUGGACAUCCGCAAAGACCUGUAUGCCAACACGGUGCUGUCUGGUGGCACCACCAUGUACCCAGGCAUUGCUGACAGGAUGCAGAAGGAGAUCACCGCCCUGGCACCCAGCACCAUGAAGAUCAAGAUCAUCGCACCCCCAGAACGCAAGUACUCAGUGUGGAUCGGUGGCUCCAUCUUGGCCUCACUGUCCACCUUCCAGCAGAUGUGGAUUAGCAAGCAGGAGUACGACGAGUCGGGCCCCUCCAUCGUCCAUUGCAAAUGCUUCUAAAUGGACUGAGCAGAUGCGUAGCAUUUGCUGCAUGGGUUAAUUCAGAAGUAUAAAUUUGCCCUUGGCAAAUGCAUACACCUCAUGCUAGCCUCACGAAACUGGAAUAAGCCUUCGAAAAGAAAUUGUCCUUGAAGCUUGUAUCUGAUAUCAGCACUGGAUUGUAGAACUUGUUGCUGAUUUUGACCGUGUAUUCAAGUUAAUUGUUCCCCUUGGUAUUUGUUUAAUACCCUGUACAUAUCUUUGAGUUCAACCUUUAGUACAUGUGGCUUGGUCACUUCGUGGCUGAGGUAAGAACGUUCUUGUGGAAGACAAGUCUGUGGCUUGGUGAGUCUGCGUGGCCAGCAGUCUCUGAUCUG